AGUAGUUUGAUCAUGGCUCAGGACACGCUGGCGGCGUGCCUAACACAUGCAAGUCGAACGGACGAGGGGAGCUUGCUCCCCAAGUUAGUGGCGGACGGGUGAGUAACACGUGAGCAACCUGCCCUUCGGAGGGGGACAACAGCUGGAAACGGCUGCUAAUACCGCAUGACACAGCGGGGAGGCAUCUCCCUGCUGUCAAAGAUUUUAUCGCCGAAGGAUGGGCUCGCGUCUGAUUAGAUAGUUGGUGAGGUAACGGCCCACCAAGUCAACGAUCAGUAGCCGGACUGAGAGGUUGAACGGCCACAUUGGGACUGAGAUACGGCCCAGACUCC
rnacentral:rRNA from 1 species